GAGUUCCGGUAUCAGGAUAUAAAAACCUUCCGUCGAGUCAGAUAUCAUACUUACUCACCUGCGGUCUGAGAUAUCGGGCGAAUUUUGUUAGAACAGUUUGACACAUCAAAAUGAAUCAACUAAAACUGAUCCUUCUCAUUGCCUUCUUCACUUCUUUCUUGUUCACCGAACUGGCCAACGCGCACUUUCGUCUCGGCCGAGGAAUGGAGCGAGCUGGAGAGGGGCCUUUGGAGGAAAGGAGGGCCGCCCUGCAUGACACUGGCUUCCUAGAGGCGAGAGCAGAGGCCAAGAGGGAAAUGUUUUUGAAACGUUUGGAAAACCUCUUAGAUAAAUAUGAAACAAGAGUGCGACGCAGCGAGGACACGAAGAAUUAAUCAAGGAAUGCAGAAUUUUACAGUUAAAGGAAGAAAAAGCCAGAAGAUAUGAAGGAACCACGAAUAUUUUCGCUAACUAGUUGUAUACGUAAUAGAACAUAAUGUCACCCAAGUGAAACACUCAUAUAAAUAUUCAGCACCACUGGGAGUCAAAUCGUGUGUGGUAACAAUUAUCUGUAAAAGCAGCAAUUGUUAAAUCACAGAAAUAAGUAAGUUCUUGAGAUCAUUGCAGAUGAAGGGUACAUUAAACACUUGAGGCACAACCAAA